AUGAUUAGCACCAGGAAGGAUAGAUCAAUUGCAGCUUUCAUCCAGGAGUUAAACCAGCACAUUCGAUGCCAGGAGAACCGGAUGUGCGCAGGCAUGAUAGACCUGAAGAAGGCCAUGACCAAAAUCACGGAACUGGAGGAAGAACUCAAAUCUACAUGCGAUGGAUAUGAGGAGGAAAUAACAACACUAGUGGAGAAGAAUGAUCAUCUGAAGAAGCUAAGAGUGUUUAUGGGAUUUCCCGCAACUGGAGGAGAAGAUGAUUGCACUUGUCCAGAGAACUACAUCAUCAUCGACGACACCGACUCGGACCCAGACGAUAGCGAUGAUGACUAUGUUGAUGAAGCUGGAGCAGAUAUCAUGGAAUCUUCAUUGGAGCAGUUUUUCUAG
rnacentral:rRNA from 1 species